GAUAUGUGACAGAAUAAAAGAAUCAGACAACAAAAGCGUCUAAUCUCUAUUAGCAUAUAUUUAAAGAAGUUGAUUUGUAAGUUCUUUAGUUUUUAAAUUGUGAGAUGAACUGUUUUUAAUAACUACAUCAUCUAUAUGUGAUGCAAUAAAAGUGAACUAAAAAAAAUUACAUUUGAUAUGCAAUGUUUAGCUUUACUCCCAUACUUGUCUCUCUGUAGGGCUCUAAACGACAGCAUGAAGAAAAGGAAAGAAAAAACAACAAGUAAGCUUACAGCGACAGCAGGAGAAACAUGAGUAAAAAGCAAAUUGAUGAUAUGCAGAAAAAAGAGUCAAAGGAAAUAAUUUCCACUGCCCCAAAAUUCAUGAAUCUGUGUUACAUGGUUCAUCAUAAUUAAAAAUACUCAAAUGUUAGUCAGAAAAUAAGAAAUUCCCCUUAAUACAUGCUAAUGUAAGACUUUAAUUAGCAUUUCUGCAGUUUGUAAAUUUCAAACAAUUACACAAUUAUAUUACACUUCAGUUUACCACACAAACCAGAGAAUGGAAAAAGCAGGUGAGCUGGGCCUAUCUCCACUGCUAUUUUUCAACGGUAUUUGUAGGCUGUUAGCAUAUACCUGCUUGCAAGGGAUGUCGUGUAACUUUGGAAUUUAUUAAUAAAAUUAUUAAUAAAACCUUUAAUGUGAAUGCCAAGAGAGAACCAGAGUCAAAGGUCCGCAUACUUGUGUUCAUUCUCUUCCCCUUCUGUUUCUUGUCUUUCCCUGUGCAAACGUUAUUUUCCCCCACUGCACUUGGACACCUGUUGUGUACCAUAUCUACUUAAAACUUGACCGACAUUGGCAUUUCUGGAGCUCAUAUUCAGGAGUUGUAUGACUACAGAAGAAAAAAUGGUUAAACCCAUUUGCUAUUCUGUAUCAAGAUAAUGUGGGGAAAAUACCAUCUUCAGUAUCAAGUUUUUUCUGCCGGAAGGCUACACCAUUGUAUGCAAUCAAACAUUUUGAGAUUUAAAAACAACCCUAGAAAAAAAAAUAUUUGAAAACUAAAACAUAUUGUUAUCAGGUCGAAAAACUUCUCUUGAUUUUGUUUAUAGGAAGGUUAAAAUAUAACAACAUUGAAAACCAAUGGAUUCACCGGGCCAGAUCAUUUCAAGGCAUCCAAAUCAUUAUACUUUGACCACUGCUUUAAAGAGUCAGUUUUACCUAUGUGCUAAAGGUUGAUUUGCUUCUCAGCAGAAGAGGCCUACAUGGUUCAGAAUUCAGAGGGACUCGCUUUUUAGCUUGCCAAAUAGUUUUAGAGUAAGAAUUUGAAAUAAACAGCCAAGCUGUUUAUCAUCAGAUGAAAAUGCCUGCAGGAUCACAGUGGCUUGUCCUUCAAAUGUGAUUUUAGCACCUAGGAAAUCACGGAAGUUCAUUUCUCACUUGCCUGAGAAACAACAGCCUGUAGAGGUUAGUGCCUCCCUGGAGAAGAUCAGAGCUGGGAUAAAGAACGAAGUCGUCCAGCCUUCACCCACUUCAUUUCAAUCUCCCCUUCCUAUCGCCAUAGGCUGUGAAAGCCAUUAGAACCUUAACUUACAUUCUUUAUAGUUUCAUGUUAUAUUCUUACCAACUGUCAUGUAUUCUUUACUGUAUCUCACCCUAUGGAUGUUUUUAAAGUUUUAGAAUUGAAUUAAAUUACUUUGAAAUGUAAAUUUAUUUUAGUAGACUCGACUUCUUAUGUUCUGUUGGCAGGUUUUUCUGUAAUGGGUCAUAGUUUCACCAAAAUUGAACUUCUAAUACUGAUGAGAAGAUAAUGAUCCAGAAAUACUCGAGUCCCAUGACUGAGUCAGGAUGUUGAAGGAUGAAACAGUACAGAAUGGAUUCCCAUGAAAAAGAACUCAGAAAAUGUCUCACACUGAUGCUGCUGGUUUUGAAGGAAAUAGGAGAGCAAAGGAAAAGAUCUGAUUCCAGUAUUUACAGGCUUGCCAGGAGAAGAGUGCUUCCCGGCUUUCCUCUCUUGCUGUAGAAACAUGGAUCUUCUUAUGCAGUUUAGACUGGCCUCAAACUCUCAGGGAUCCUCCUACCUCAGCCUCCCAAGUGCUGGGACUACAGGCAUGCACCACCAUGCCUGACCACAAACAACCAAAUCCCUAAAAUCACUUUUUCAUCUAUGACUCUGUUAUUUCUAAAAUAAUUUUAAGCCAUCUUUUUGUCUAGCAAAAGACCACUAGGGCUACUCAUAUGAUGUGGGACAAUUGCCAUUCCAGUGGUCAUGGGAAAAACAUGAUUUUUCUUUCUUUUUUUAAUGGCAUAUUCACAGCAAGACUUCCCACCACUAAUCUUUUACCUUUGACUGAAGAGAAAAAAAUAACUGUCCACAACGGGUAAUGAAAAUUUUGCUCAAAAUUGUUUGGAAAAUGUAAAUGCUGCCAAUCUAUCACAUUCAACUUGCAAGGAUCCUGGAAAUCUUUAUUACAGUGACUUUUUUUCAAGUAUAAUUUUAAGUAAGUGGAUCAUUGAUCAGUAUUAUUCUUUAAGAGACUUAAUGUUUGUGGUCUCUCUAUAGAUGCAGAUGUAGGAUACUAUUAAAUUUUUGUGUCCCUAACAAGUUUGUUAUCUGAGAAAGGUAAAAAACAGGUUCAAGCAUACUUAUUUUGUAAGUAGCUUUAAAAAGACUUGUGUUUAUUUUAUUGAGACACAGGUAUAUGUCUUCUCAAGUGAGAGGACACUGAGAGGGCUAUUCCACCGUAGAAAAAUCAGAUUUGUGAACUGCCCAGGGGUUAUUGGUGAUCGAAGAGGGACACAGUGCCUGGGCCGCUCCAUCCAGGUCACUGAUCUGCAAUGCAGUGUCACUGUAACUUCUGAGUCUCUGUAAUGUUUUCAUCAAUCCUGAGGCUUUGUGGGCAGAGGGUAUUUCAGAAUGUAAUAAAGAUUAGUUUUCUUGAUCUUAUACAAUUAA